rnacentral:misc_RNA from 1 species
GAUAGGCGUUUGAUAGUUACUAUUCUGUAUCUAUUCUGUUGUCAAGCGUCUUGAGGACUGUAUACAUUUAUACCUAUUAUUCUCCUAUUCUGUGUCUUGAGUCUAGUCUGGAGGUGUGGAAUUGUUUUGUUGUUUGUACUUUGUAGUUUGUUUAAAUUUCUUUGAUUGUGUUGAGGUGAAAUCAAGUCAAAUUGACUUGAUUUUUUGUUGAUUUUAUCAACUAUGGUGAAGAAUGAGUAUGAUGACUCAAAGGAGCCAGAACAUGUACGCAAACUGUUCAUUGGAGGUUUGGACUACAAGACAACUGAUGAUUCAUUGAAGAAACAUUUUGAACAAUGGGGUGAGAUCGUUGAUGUUGUAGUUAUGAAGGACUCGCAUACCAAAAGGUCAAGAGGUUUCGGAUUUGUUACUUACUCUGAGGCUAGCUGCAUCGAUGCUGCACAAAGUGCGAGGCCUCACACCGUCGAUGGUAGAGUUGUAGAACCAAAAAGGGCAGUCCCUAAAACCGAAAUUGGAAGGCCAGAGAGUGGAGCUACCGUAAGGAAACUUUUCAUUGGAGGCUUGAAGGAUGAACAUGACGAACAAGAAAUAAAAGACUACUUCACAAAUUUCGGCAACGUUGUAAACUGCACGAUCAUUUGUGAUAAGGAGAGUGGCAAGAAGAAGGGAUUUGGAUUUGUUGAAUUCGAUGACUAUGACCCAGUUGAUAAAAUCUGCUUGCAAAGCUGUCACACAGUGAAAGGCAAACGCAUCGAUGUGAAAAAGGCGUUGAGCAGGGAGGAGAUGGCGAAGAUGGGAGGAGGUGGUGGGGAUAGGGGUGGCCGACGAGGAGGAAGAGGUGGGGGAGGUCGUGGGGGUGGAUAUGGAGGCGGAGGUCGUGGGGGUGGAUACGGAGGUGGAGGUCGCGGAGGAAGCGACUGGAAUAACACAACUGUGGUGGCCGGCGGUAAAACGUGGGAAUCUGAGCCAAUGGGAGGCGGUUCAUAUGGAGGCAGAAACAGCGGGGGCGGCUAUGAUGGAGGGAGUGGAGGUGGCUACCAACAGAGCUACAGUGGUGGACCCAUGCGCAGUAACUAUUCUUCAGGCGGUGCCGGUGGAAGGCCUUCGCCCUAUAGUGGCAAUGCUGGUGGUGGUGGUGGUUAUGGAGGCGGAGGAGGUUAUGGCGGAGGCAGCGGAGUUGGUUAUGGAGGCACUGGCAGUGGGGGUGGUUAUGGCGGAAGCCGAAAGUACUGAACAACUGAGUCGCUGCUAAUUCCUAUGAUGUGUUGAAGUCUGGGAGGAAUAGGAAGGAGAAAAAAUAGAUAAUAAGAGACGACUCAACGAAAUACGAACUUCAAAAGCAUCUCUGCUUUCAUCAGCAUCAGACUGGGUGGAACAGAAAGGAUAAGGAAAUGGAUGAGAAGUAACGUCUCAGCGUUUUAAGGUGCAUAUUAACAAAAAACGUUCAAAUUCAUCUCUGUAUGCGUCAGCAUCAGCUGAAACUGCCUCCACUUCAAAAAGAGCUGGUGCAGCCUCUACUUCGGCUUCAGCUGAAGCUGCCUCCACUUCAGCAAGAGCUGGUGCAGCCCUUACUUCAGCAUCAGCUGAAGCUGCCUUCACUUCAGCAGCAGCUGGUGUAGCCUCUAGUGAAUCGAUGUUAAGUAGUUGAUAUCAUGAAUAAUUAUUUGUUGAAGAGAGCACGGUAGCUGUCGGCCAUAUUUAAUGUUUCCUAGGAUCAAUGUAAUCGUUUGGAACACAUAGCCAUAGAGAAAAGACCUUGUUUAAUGAAGAUACCUAUUUAUUUGUUGUCUCUGACAUAGCGCCCUUAUUUAUGGACAGAAAUUCACAAAUUUUGCAUUCCAAACUUUCACGUUUCCACUUUCAUUGCUCCAAAUGUUGAUCAAAUUUUUUUAUUAUAUAAUAUCAUAUCUAUUCCAUGUCAAAUAAAACUAAUGUUUGUAAAUGAUAAAAAUAAAUUGUUUCUGCAAUAAUAAAAUUUGUGCAAUUUUAAGAGAAAGGCUAUUUGUUUCUUAUAUUUGAAUAAUUUUGGCCGUUUUAACGAUCAUGUUAUAUUUACAUAACUAUUAGUGAGAAAAUUUGACAAUAUUUUAAAAAUCAUAAAAAUAUUAUAAUUAAGUGUCUUAAACUUUAGAUUUUUCCUACUUAAAAUAAAAAAGAAUGACCGAAAGGGUUGAUGUGUUAAAGAUUAUAGUUUCGUUUGUAUGUUUAGAAAUAUAAAUUUUUACAGAAAAAAGAAAUAAUUUUCACUGUAAAAAAUUCUAUUUUGUCUAUUUCGAUUAAUGUUAGUGAAUUGUUUUUUUUUGUGAUUAUUUUUACAAAUAAAUGAAAUUAGUUUCUGAUUUCUGAAUCUCCUCAAAAAUUUAAGGCCUACCAAAAAAUAAGCCAGAGGUAAUGAAAUUAGCUAGUAGUUGAUUUUCCAUUUAUUUAAAAAUAACAUUGGCCAUUAAGCCCCGUACUUAUAUAAUCAAUGAUGACCAAAAUUGAUAUGCAAAUAUGCAUACAGCAUUCACACCGAACGCCAGGUAAAAAAUCGUAAAGUUGAUAAUACUUUAUUAUUUAAGUUAUACCAAUAAGUCAAAACUUUUUAGUAGAAAGUGUUUACUAGGAGUACGAUC